rnacentral:rRNA from 1 species
UCUAUAUUGGCCUAGGACUGUCGAGGACUGGGGUUGGACUCGAUAGUUGGCGAGCUUAGAGACCUGGUACGGUCGUACAACCCAGCGGUGGUGUUUUUAUCCGAGACAAAAAAAUCUGCAAAAGCUAUGGAGAGGUUAAAGUGGAGCUUGGGCUUCAAUAAUGGAGUGGCAGUGAAUUGUGUGGGCAAAAGUGGUGGCCUUGCAUUGUGGUGGAGGGAUUAUGUAAAUGUGAGCGUCAGGCCAUGGUGUCAAUAUUACAUAGAUGCACAAGUGGAGGUGGAAGGGAAAACCUAUAGAUUCACUGGAAUUUAA